rnacentral:rRNA from 1 species
UACGUAGGGGGCAAGCGUUGUCCGGAAUCAUUGGGCGUAAAGAGCUCGUAGGCGGUUCAGUAAGUCGGGUGUGAAACCUCCAGGCUCAACCUGGAGACGCCACCCGAUACUGCUGUGACUAGAGUCCAGUAGGGGAGCGUGGAAUUCCUGGUGUAGCGGUGAAAUGCGCAGAUAUCAGGAGGAACACCAGCGGCGAAGGCGGCGCUCUGGGCUGGAACUGACGCUGAGGAGCGAAAGCGUGGGGAGCGAACAGG